rnacentral:rRNA from 1 species
GACGAACGCUGGCGGCGUGCUUAACACAUGCAAGUCGAACGGAAAGGCCCUGCUUGCCGGGUACUCGAGUGGCGAACGGGUGAGUAACACGUGGGUGAUCUGCCCUGCACUUCGGGAUAAGCCUGGGAAACUGGGUCUAAUACCGGAUAGGAGCCAUUUUUAGUGUGAUGGUUGGAAAGUUUUUUCGGUGUAGGAUGAGCUCGCGGCCUAUCAGCUUGUUGGUGGGGUAAUGGCCUACCAAGGCGGCGACGGGUAGCCGGCCUGAGAGGGUGGACGGCCACAUUGGGACUGAGAUACGGCCCAGACUCCUACGGGAGGCAGCAGUGGGGAAUAUUGCACAAGGGGCGCAAGCCGGAUGCAGCGACGCCGCGGGGGGGAGGACGGCCUUCGGGUUGUAAACGCCUUUCGCUAGGGACGAAGCUUUUUGUGACGGUACCUAGAUAAGAAGCACCGGCUAACUACGUG